rnacentral:rRNA from 1 species
UGAGGAAUAUUGGUCAAUGGGCGCAAGCCUGAACCAGCCAUCCCGCGUGCAGGAAGACGGCGCUAUGCGUUGUAAACUGCUUUUCCAGGGGGAGAAACUUGCGCACGUGUUGCGCAAUUGACGGUACCCUGGGAAUAAGCAUCGGCUAACUCCGUGCCAGCAGCCGGGGUAAUACGGAGGAUGCGAGCGUUAUCCGGAUUCAUUGGGUUGAAAGGGUGCGUAGGCGGACUAUUAAGUCAGUGGUGAAAUCCUGCAGCUUAACGGCAGAACUGCCAUUGAAACUGAUAGCCUUGAGGUUGGUUAAGGUAGGCGGAAUUUGUAAUGUAGCGGUGAAAUGCUUAGAUAUUACACAGAACACCAAUUGCGUAGGCAGCUUACUGGGCCGACACUGACGCUGAGGCACGAAAGCGUGGGGAUCGAACA